rnacentral:rRNA from 1 species
UACAGAGGGUGCGAGCGUUAAUCGGAAUUACUGGGCGUAAAGGGCGCGUAGGCGGUAGUGCAAGUCGUUUGUGAAAUUCCUGGGCUCAACCUAGGGACUGCUGACGAGACUGUGCUGCUAGAGUACUGUAGAGGGCGGUGGAAUUUCCGGUGUAGCGGUGAAAUGCGUAGAGAUCGGAAGGAACACCAGUGGCGAAGGCGGCCGCCUGGGCAGUAACUGACGCUGAUGCGCGAGAGCGUGGGGAGCAAGCAGG